rnacentral:rRNA from 1 species
UACGUAGGGAGCAAGCGUUGUCCGGAAUUACUGGGCGUAAAGCGUGCGCAGGCGGUUCGUUAAGUCAGAUGUGAAAGCCCCGGGCUCAACCCUGGGAACUGCAUUUGAAACUGGCGGGCUUGAGUAUGGCAGAGGGGGGUGGAAUUCCGCGUGUAGCAGUGAAAUGCGUAGAGAUGCGGAGGAACACCGAUGGCGAAGGCAGCCCCCUGGGCCAAUACUGACGCUCAGGCACGAAAGCGUGGGGAGCAAACAGG